UCCAUGUGAUCAUACUUUCUAAAGAAUCUGUGAUUUUGAGCUAUCAGCUUGAUUAUCUUUAUCUUAAAAUGCUGGUUGACACUAAUCUCUUUUCGUUUAAGAUGGGUGCAAAGUCAACAACAUUAACUGGUCUAUCAGGAAUUGGCGAUAAAACUGAAAUACGAGCAAGUUUAAGCAAUCAAACAAGAUUAACAAAUGAUAUAAUGUGGUUCUAUUGCUUCUAGAUGUCUAUAAUUGUGGAAAAAACACACUUGCUAUAUUUGCUUUCUAAGAUAAGCAGUCGCCAAACAAUCACUUUAAUCUUACUUUACUAACAAAAUUGUAGAAGUGAGUAGGGAAAGCCUAACUAGAGAUAAGAGAGACACACCAUAUGUAUGAGCAGAGCUUAAAUAGUUUGAGCAUGAGGGUAUUCUAUGUUUUUUCUGAGUUUUCUUCAUCACUUCUCAUCUACUCUUUUUUCUUUUGGAAGUAGCGCCAUCAUUAUCAAUUGGGAUGAAUAUAUUCUUGAUAGGUUCUUUGGGUGAAGUGGCAUUUUAUCGGUUCAUUAUAUGCAGUGCUGUAAUGCUGUUUUACUAUGUAUUUUUUUAUUAUCAAGCGACCUUUAUGUAAAUAGUUUGGGCAGAAAUGAUGCUUAUUAUGUACAAUACUAUGGUCCAGCAUAAGAUGGGAAUAUAUGUGAAUGAGUACCUGUUCUAAUAAUGAAGCUCUGUGCAGUUAAGAUUCAGCUAAUUAUUUGCUCUUUCCCGGUUCACUUAACACAUCUAUAUCAUGUUAAAACACUUUAUGAUACAGGCAAGCACCCGGUGGUAGAAACGACAAUCUAAAGUCUUGGUGGCUAGUAAAGAAAAUCAAUGGCAUCAAAAGGUAAUGUUAAUGGACGACG